GACGAACCGUGCAAACGUUGUUCGGAAUCACUGGGCUUAAAGGGCGCGUAGGCGGCUGACCAAGUCCGGGGUGAAAUCUUUCGGCUCAACCGGAAAAGUGCCUUGGAUACUGGUCGCUAGAGUGAGGUAGGGGGCAUGUGGAACUUCCGGUGGAGCGGUGGAAAUGCGUUGAUAUCGGAAGGAACGCCGGUGGCGAAAGCGACGUGCUGGACCUUUUCUGACGCUGAGGCGCGAAAGCUAGGGGGAGCGAACGGG
rnacentral:rRNA from 1 species